rnacentral:lncRNA from 1 species
GAAUAGAUCGGUCAAGGAUGAUCUAGAAUAGAUCGUCUGAGAUCAAUGAGUUGAGAACUACUAUUGAUGGGGUGUCUGUCAGCCUCUGUCAUAUUGGCGUUCUUAUCGGACGUCCAUCUCCUAUAGCUCGAUAGGAGUCGAGGACUCGAUGUACAUCAUAAUUAGUAAUAUUUAAAGAAAUGACUACAAGAUCAUCAUGUGGGUACUUUAUUCCAUCCAAAUCGGC